rnacentral:lncRNA from 1 species
GUAAAGGCAGGUGGGGAAUGAGAGAAAGAGGAGGAGGCUCCACAGGCGAGGCAAGGCAACACCAAAUGAGGUCGGUCACCAUAUAUAUGACUAACUUUUUGGCACAUUAUUUUUAUGAUGAACUUGUGAUUUUAGUGUUAGUCGGUUAGCCCCCCUAUACAUCUCACAUUGCUCUCUACUUAUAACAUUCAUAAACCAAAACCUUAAUGCAAGAUUGCCCUUUGACCAAUGAACAUUAGAUUGAGUUAGGUGGGUAACUAAUAUAUUUUUCCAAGUUU